GCAGGCUUACACAUGCAAGUCGAGCGGGGAAGUGUAGCUUGCUACAUUACCUAGCGGCGGACGGGUGAGUAAUGCUUAGGAAUCUGCCUAUUAGUGGGGGACAACAUUCCGAAAGGAAUGCUAAUACCGCAUACGUCCUACGGGAGAAAGCAGGGGAUCUUCGGACCUUGCGCUAAUAGAUGAGCCUAAGUCGGAUUAGCUAGUUGGUGGGGUAAAGGCCUACCAAGGCGACGAUCUGUAGCGGGUCUGAGAGGAUGAUCCGCCACACUGGGACUGAGACACGGCCCAGACUCCUACGGGAGGCAGCAGUGGGGAAUAUUGGACAAUGGGGGGAACCCUGAUCCAGCCAUGCCGCGUGUGUGAAGAAGGCCUUAUGGUUGUAAAGCACUUUAAGCGAGGAGGAGGCUACUCUAGAUUAUACCUAGAGAUAGUGGACGUUACUCGCAGAAUAAGCACCGGCUAACUCUGUG
rnacentral:rRNA from 1 species